UGGGGAAUAUUGGACAAUGGGCGCAAGCCUGAUCCAGCCAUGCCGCGUGAGUGAGGAAGGCCCUAGGGUUGUAAAGCUCUUUCACCGGUGAAGAUAAUGACGGUAACCGGAGAAGAAGCCCCGGCUAACUUCGUGCCAGCAGCCGCGGUAAUACGAAGGGGGCUAGCGUUGUUCGGAUUUACUGGGCGUAAAGCGCACGUAGGCGGACUAUUAAGUCAGGGGUGAAAUCCCGGGGCUCAACCCCGGAACUGCCUUUGAUACUGGUAGUCUUGAGUUCGAGAGAGGUGAGUGGAAUUCCGAGUGUAGAGGUGAAAUUCGUAGAUAUUCGGAGGAACACCAGUGGCGAAGGCGGCUCACUGGCUCGAUACUGACGCUGAGGUGCGAAAGCGUGGGGAGCAAACAGG
rnacentral:rRNA from 1 species